CCCAUAGAUGUCCGGGGCCGCACGCGCGCUACACUGAAGGAAUCAGCGUGGCUUUCUCCCUGACCCGAAAGGGUUGGGAAACCCGUUGAAUCUCCUUCGUGAUAGGGAUUGGGGCUUGAAAUUGUUCCCCAUGAACGAGGAAUUCCCAGUAAGCGCGAGUCAUAAGCUCGCGUUGAUUACGUCCCUGCCCUUUGUACACACCGCCCGUCGCUACUACCGAUUGAACGGUUUAGUGAGGGCCUCGGAUUGGUCUCGGCCCGCUCUUUACCGGGCGGCGCCGUUGGUCGAGAAGACGCUCGAACUUGAUCGUUUAGAGGAAGUAAAAGUCGUAACA
rnacentral:rRNA from 1 species